CGGAGGGUGCAAGCGUUAUCCGGAUUCACUGGGUUUAAAGGGUGCGUAGGUGGGCUAGUAAGUCCGUGGUGAAAUCUCCGAGCUUAACUCGGAAACUGCCGUGGAUACUAUUAGUCUUGAAUCUCGUGGAGGUAAGCGGAAUAUGUCAUGUAGCGGUGAAAUGCUUAGAUAUGACAUAGAACACCGAUAGCGAAGGCAGCUUGCUACACGAGUAUUGACACUGAGGCACGAAAGCGUGGGGAUCAAACAGGAUUAGAUACCCUGGUAGUCCACGCCCUAAACGAUGGAUACUCGACAUACGCGAUACACAGUGUGUGUCUGAGCGAAAGCAUUAAGUAUCCCACCUGGGAAGUACGACCGCAAGGUUG
rnacentral:rRNA from 1 species